UACGGAGGUCUCAAGCGUUGUUCGGAUUUAUUGGGCGUAAAGGGUGCGUAGGCGGCGGGGUAAGUCUGGUGUGAAAUCUCGGAGCUCAACUCCGAAAUUGCACUGGAUACUGCUCUGCUAGAGGGCUGGAGAGGAGAUCGGAAUUUACGGUGUAGCGGUGAAAUGCGUAGAUAUCGGAAGGAAGACCAGUGGCGAAGGCGGGUCUCUGGACAGUUCCUGACGCUGAGGCACGAAGGCCAGGGGAGCAAACGGG
rnacentral:rRNA from 1 species